rnacentral:ncRNA from 1 species
UAUCUUCAGGGCGGGGUGUAAUUCCCCACCGGCGGUAUAGCCCGCGAGCCGCAAGGCAUGAUUCGGUGUAACUCCGAAGCCGACAGUAAAGUCUGGAUGAAAGAAGGUA